UACGUAGGGUGCGAGCGUUGUCCGGAAUUAUUGGGCGUAAAGGGCUCGUAGGCGGUUUGUCGCGUCGGGAGUGAAAACUCGGGGCUUAACCCCGGGCCUGCAGUGGGUACGGGCAGACUAGAGUGCGGUAGGGGAGACUGGAAUUCCUGGUGUAGCGGUGAAAUGCGCAGAUAUCAGGAGGAACACCGGUGGCGAAGGCGGGUCUCUGGACAGUUCCUGACGCUGAGGCACGAAGGCCAGGGGAGCAAACGGG
rnacentral:rRNA from 1 species